ensembl:lncRNA
GACAGUGUUGUCUCUGUGUGUGUGUGACAGUGUUUGUUGUCUGUGUGUGUGACAGUGUUGUCUGUGUGUGUGACAGUGGUGUGUGUGUGUGUGUGUCUCUGUGUGUGUGACAGUGGUGUCUGUGUGUGUGUGUCUGUGUGUGUGUGACAGUGGUGUCUCUGUGUGUGUGUGUCUGUGUGUGUGUGACAGUGUUGUUUCUGUGUGUGUGACAGUGUUGUCUCUGUGUGUGUGUGUGUGACAUUGUUGUCUCUGUGUGUGUGUGUGUGACAGUGUUGUCUCUGUGUGUGUGUGUGUGUGACAGUGUUGUCUCUGUGUGUGUGACAGUGUUGUCUCUGUGUGUGUGACAGUGUUGUCUCUGUGUGUGUGACAGUGUUGUCUUGUUGUUUCUGUGUGUGUGACAGUGUUGUCUCUGUGUGUGUGUGUGUGACAUUGUUGUCUCUGUGUGUGUGUGUGUGUGUGACAGUGUUGUCUCUGUGUGUGUGUGUGUGUGACAGUGUUGUCUCUGUGUGUGUGACAGUGUUGUCUCUGUGUGUGUGUGACAGUGUUGUCUCUGUGUGUGUGACAGUGUUGUCUGUGUCUGUGUGUGUGUGUGUGACAGUGUUGUCUGUGUGUGUGUGUGUGUGUGACAGUGUUGUCUCUGUGUGUGUGUGUGUGUGUGACAGUGUUGUCUCUGUGUGUGUGUGUGUGUGUGUGUGUGACAGUGGUGUCUGUGUGUGUGUGUGUCUGUGUGUGUGUGACAGUGUUGUCUCUGUGUGUGUGACAGUGUU